rnacentral:rRNA from 1 species
CCUACGGGUGGCAGCAGUGAGGAAUAUUGGUCAAUGGGCUUACGCCUGAACCAGCCAAGUCGCGUGAGGGAAGACUGCCCUAUGGGUUGUAAACCUCUUUUGUCAGGGAGCAACGCCGGCUACUUGUAGCCGGACUGAGAGUACCUGAAGAAAAAGCAUCGGCUAACUCCGUGCCAGCAGCCGCGGUAAUACGGAGGAUUCGAGCGUUAUCCGGAUGUAUUGGGGUUAAAGGGUGCGUAGGCGGAAUGCCAAGUCAGCGGUAAAAUCGCGGGGCUAAACCCCGCUCCGCCGUUGAAACUGGCGGUCUUGAGUGGGCGAGAAGUAUGCGGAAUGCGUGGUGUAGCGGUGAAAUGCAUAGAUAUCACGCAGAACUCCGAUUGCGAAGGCAGCAUACCGGCGCCCAACUGACGCUGAAGCACGAAAGCGUGGGUAUCGAACAGGAUUAGAUACCCGGGUAGUC